CUACGGGUUGCUCCAGUAGGGAAUAUUGCGCAAUGGGGGAAACCCUGACGCAGCAACGCCGCGUGGGUGAAGAAGGCUUUCGGGUUGUAAAGCCCUGUCAGGAGGGAAGAAAUGCAAGUGAGAGUAAUACCUCACUUGUUUGACGGUACCUCCAAAGGAAGCACCGGCCAACUCCGUGCCAGGCAGCCGCGGUAAUACGGAGGGUGCAAGCGUUGUUCGGAUUUACUGGGCGUAAAGCGCGUGUAGGCGGCUUGUUAGGUCAGAUGUGAAAGCCCCCGGCUUAACCGGGGAAGUGCAUUUGAAACCAAUAGGCUUGAGUACGGGAGAGGGAAGCGGAAUUCCUAGUGUAGAGGUGAAAUUCGUAGAUAUUAGGAGGAACACCCGUGGCGAAGGCGGCUUCCUGGACCGAUACUGACGCUGAGACGCGAAAGCGUGGGGAGCAAACAGGAUUAGAUACCCCCGUAGUC
rnacentral:rRNA from 1 species